GACGAACCGAGCGAACGUUAUUCGGAAUCACUGGGCUUAAAGGGCGCGUAGGCGGGCCAUCAAGUCAGGGGUGAAAGCCCCCAGCUCAACUGGGGAAGUGCCUCUGAUACUGGCGGCCUCGAGGGAGGUAGGGGCGUGCGGAACUUCCGGUGGAGCGGUGAAAUGCGUAGAUAUCGGAAGGAACACCGGUGGCGAAAGCGGCGCGCUGGACCUCUUCUGACGCUGAGGCGCGAAAGCCAGGGGAGCGAACGGG
rnacentral:rRNA from 1 species